AUUGAACGCUGGCGGCAGGCCUAACACAUGCAAGUCGAACGGUAACAGGAAGAAGCUUGCUUCUUUGCUGACGAGUGGCGGACGGGUGAGUAAUGUCUGGGAAACUGCCUGAUGGAGGGGGAUAACUACUGGAAACGGUAGCUAAUACCGCAUAACGUCGCAAGACCAAAAAGGGGGACCUUCGGGCCUCUUGCCAUCGGAUGUGCCCAGAUGGGAUUAGCUAGUAGGUGGGGUAACGGCUCACCUAGGCGACGAUCCCUAGCUGGUCUGAGAGGAUGACAAGCCACAGUGGAGCUGAGACACGGUCCAGACUCAUACGGGAGGCAGCAGUGGGGAAUAUUGCACAAUGGGCGCAAGCCUGAUGCAGCCAUGCCGCGGGUAUGAAGAAGGCCUUCGGUUUGUAAAGUACUUUCAGCGGGGAGGAAGGGAGUAAAGUUAAUACCUUUGCUCAUGGACGUUACCCGCAGAAGAAGCACCGGCUAACUCCGU
rnacentral:rRNA from 1 species